rnacentral:rRNA from 1 species
AGAGUUUGAUCCUGGCUCAGGAUGAACGCUAGCGGCAGGCCUAACACAUGCAAGUCGAGGGGUAGAGGAAGCUUGCUUCCUUGAGACCGGCGCACGGGUGCGUAACGCGUAUGCAAUCUACCUUGUACAGAGGAAUAGCCCAGAGAAAUUUGGAUUAAUGCCUCAUAGUAUAUUGAUUCGGCAUCGGAUUAAUAUUAAAGUUUCGGCGGUACAAGAUGAGCAUGCGUCCCAUUAGUUAGUUGGUAAGGUAACGGCUUACCAAGACAAUGAUGGGUAGGGGUCCUGAGAGGGAGAUCCCCCACACUGGUACUGAGACACGGACCAGACUCCUACGGGAGGCAGCAGUGAGGAAUAUUGGGCAAUGGGCGGAAGCCUGACCCAGCCAUGCCGCGUGCAGGAAGACGGUCCUAUGGAUUGUAAACUGCUUUUAUACGGGAAGAAACACCCCCUCGUGAGGGGACUUGACGGUACCGUAAGAAUAAGGAUCGGCUAACUCCGUGCCAGCAGCCGCGGUAAUACGGAGGAUCCAAGCGUUAUCCGGAAUCAUUGGGUUUAAAGGGUCCGUAGGCGGCCUUAUAAGUCAGUGGUGAAAUCUCCUAGCUCAACUAGGAAACUGCCAUUGAUACUGUAGGGCUUGAAUUAUUGUGAAGUAACUAGAAUAUGUAGUGUAGCGGUGAAAUGCUUAGAUAUUACAUGGAAUACCAAUUGCGAAGGCAGGUUACUAACAAUAUAUUGACGCUGAUGGACGAAAGCGUGGGUAGCGAACAGGAUUAGAUACCCUGGUAGUCCACGCCGUAAACGAUG